UACGGGAGGCAGCAGUGGGGAAUAUUGCACAAUGGGCGCAAGCCUGAUGCAGCCAUGCCGCGUGUAUGAAGAAGGCCUUGGGUUGUAAAGUACUUUCAGUCGUGAGGAAGGUGUUAAGGUUAAUAACCUUAGCAAUUGACGUUAGCGACAGAAGAAGCACCGGCUAACUCCGUGCCAGCAGCCGCGGUAAUACGGAGGGUGCGAGCGUUAAUCGGAAUUACUGGGCGUAAAGGGCACGCAGGCGGUUAAUUAAGUUGGAUGUGAAAUCCCCGGGCUUAACCUGGGAAUGGCAUUCAAGACUGGUUAGCUAGAGUCUUGUAGAGGGGGUAGAAUUCCAUGUGUAGCGGUGAAAUGCGUAGAGAUGUGGAGGAAUACCGGUGGCGAAGGCGGCCCCUGGGACAAAGGACUGACGCUCAUGUGCGAAAGCGUGGGGAGCAAACAGGGAUUAGAUACC
rnacentral:rRNA from 1 species